UUAUUUGUAUGUAUGUACUCUGAGUUGCAUUGAACUUGUCGCAGUGAAGUUGGCUACAAAUUUACUAACACAUUCACGCCGCGUCGGUGAGUCGAUCUCGUCCAUCGUCUCACCAACGCAGCGUGGAUGUGUUAGUGAAUUUGUAGCCAACUUCACUGCGACAAGUUCAAUGCAACUCAGUGUACAUAUAUGCUGUAAAUAGUUACUGGCAAAAACACGUGUAGUAUUUUGCGACAUGUAUUAAGAAAUAAUUGUUUACAAAGUAUAAUAUUUUUAUUAUUUUAAAAAGGAGUAGUUUCUAAAAUACACAUCACAAUGCCUGUAAUAAACAGAAUAGUAAAACCAACUACCCAUAGAGGUAAAAGAGCUAUUUUAAAGAAAGAACCGAAAUUGAUAGAAGGUGCUAAACAAACUCUGUGUUACAAAGGUAAAAACAGUUCUGCGAUAGUACUGGACUUUAUGAAAGAUCUGUAUACUCUGAAGAAACCAGAUGCAUCAUUAUUGCAAAAGAAGAAUGAUGUACUACCAUUUGAAGAUGUAACACUACUCGAAAAAUUUGCUAUGAAGUAUAACGCUCCUCUCUUCAUGUUUGCUUUACAUAAUAAAAAACGUCCUCACAAUCUUGUAUUGGGAAGAAUGUACGAGCAUACAUUAUUAGACAUGGCAGAAUUUGGUGUAGAAAAUUAUAAAGGUUUAAAAGACUUUAAAAUUCCAAAAGUUUCAGAGGGAAUUAAACCUUUGUUAGUUUUUAAUGGAGAACUUUUUGAAAAUAAUCAUGAACUUAAUAGAAUUAAAAACCUCCUUGUGGAUAUGUUUCAAAGAGAGCCAGUUGAAAAGAUUAGAUUACAAGGUCUUGAGCAUGUUCUCAGUUUCACAGCUGUUGAGAAUAAAAUAAUGUUAAGAAGUUAUAGGAUACUUUUGAAAAAGUCUGACUGUAGAACACCAAGGAUCGAAUUGGAAGAAAUAGGACCAAGGGCAGAUUUAGUAUGUAGGCGUACUAAACUUGCUUCUGAAGAUCUCUUUAAACAAGCAUGCAAGAAGCCAAAAGAAUUGAAGGUUAAAAAGAAGAAGAAUGUCUCUACAGAUAAUCUUGGCACAACUUUCGGUCGUAUACAUGUCGGGGCACAGAAUCUUAAUAGCAUUCAAACAAGAAAGAUGAAAGGACUUAAGAAAACCAUGGCAGAAAAGAAAGUUGAAAUGAAACGAAAAAGUACAGAAAUUCAAGUCAGUGAUGACAGUUCAAAAAGGUCUAAGAAUACUACUGAUUCAGCCGAUUAAUAAUAUUAACGCAAAGACGUCCUUUAGAAUCAGCGUAAAAAAAGUGCUCUUUGACAUUUUUGUAUCAUCUAAAAAUAAGUGACCACAAUGUAACCAAUAGUUCACCCAUUGCUGUACUUCAUGGUAACAGCAUGAUUGGGCUUCUUCAUUUUCAUGAUGUGGAAAUGCAAGAUCUAUUCCGCCACUAUGGAGAUCCACACAAUUUCCAAAAACUGUGCUAAUUUAAAUACAAGCUUUUAUGAAGAUAUUACCUUGCAAUUGUACUACAUUCUAUGUGCCAUCCUGGUCUUCCCUUACCCCAUGGUGAUUUCCAAAAUGGUUCACCUUGUUUAGCUGCUUUCCAUAAACAAAAGUCUGUUGCUGAUUUCUUUUCAGGAUGAUUACUCUCUGGGUAUGGGGUUCCUAAUUUUCCAUAAAGGUCAUAUUUAGUUGUAUCAAAAUACCCAGAACCUGUAGAAACAAAAAUGAUUUGUUAAUAAACGUAACAUAAUAAUUCAAUAAUCAUA